rnacentral:lncRNA from 1 species
AGCGCCGCCUUUUUGCCUUCGCGGUGGUGGCGCCGCGCUGGGAAUCCGCUGCGGAGUGAGUUCGCCUCGCCCCGUUCGCUUCGGUCCCUGAUCCCAGUCGGGGUGGGGCUAAGCUGACCACCCUGCUGUGGCUCCGCCUCUUUCUCCUGUAUUUCCCUCACUUGUGUCCCAUCCCCGGGAGGCUCUCGCUUGCACUGCAGCCUUUAUGGUGAGCAGCGCCCUGGGCCAACUUGCCCUUUUCGGAUGGAGUCAGGGAGGGAGGAGAGACUCGAAUAGGGUAUUACUGUAAGGAAACGAGGUCCUCCUAGCGCGUGGGAGGAUCCCUUGGGACAGAUGCCCGCCGCUCUUUACUCUUGUUCUUUCAGCUUGUAGUGGCUAGGUCCCUGGCCUGGAGCCUAUCUGUGGUCCCUGCAUGCUGUGUAACCUUGAGCGAGUCACUAUCCCUCUCUGGGCUUCAGUUUUCCCUAUUUAAAGCUUCCUCCAACGCUAGAAUUCUGCAUUUCUGCAGAAGAACUUAUGUAAUUACAAGAUUGACUUGGCUAUUGAGGCCGCUUCACCAAGAUGACCCGGAGUUGACUGAACCUUCUUCACUUAUGGGUGGAAUGAGGCGACCUAUUUAUUGGGUCGCUUUUAUUCCUUUAUCAUUAGUUACAAAUUGCAUGACUUAAGGCUCAUUAAAUGUUUUUCUAAAAUUGUCAUGG